AUUGAACGCUGGCGGAAUGCUUUACACAUGCAAGUCGAGGGGUAGCAAGAUUGUAGCAAUACAAUUGUUGACGACCGGCAAACGGGUGCGGAACACGUACACAACCUUCCUACAAGUGGGGAAUAGCCCAGAGAAAUUUGGAUUAAUACCCCGUAACAUAGCGAUGUGGCAUCACAUUGCUAUUAUAGCUUCGGCGCUUGUUGAUGGGUGUGCGGCUGAUUAGAUAGUUGGCGGGGUAACGGCCCACCAAGUCUACGAUCAGUAGCUGAUGUGAGAGCAUGAUCAGCCACACGGGCACUGAGACACGGGCCCGACUCCUACGGGAGGAAGCAGUAAGGAAUAUUGGACAAUGGACGCAAGUCUGAUCCAGCCAUGCCGCGUGAAGGAUUAAGGUCCUCUGGAUUGUAAACUUCUUUUAUAAGGGACGAAAAAAGGUCUUUCUAGAUCGUCUGACGGUACCUUAUGAAUAAGCACCGGCUAACUCCGUGCCAGCAGCCGCCGUAACAC
rnacentral:rRNA from 1 species